rnacentral:rRNA from 1 species
GCAGUGGGGAAUAUUGCACAAUGGGGGAAACCCUGAUGCAGCGACGCCGCGUGGAGGAAGAAGGUUUUCGGAUUGUAAACUCCUGUCUUCGGGGACGAUAAUGACGGUACCCGAGGAGGAAGCCACGGCUAACUACGUGCCAGCAGCCGCGGUAAAACGUAGGUGGCAAGCGUUGUCCGGAAUUACUGGGUGUAAAGGGAGCGCAGGCGGGUCGGUAAGUUGGGAGUGAAAACUAUGGGCUCAACCCAUAAAUUGCUUUCAAAACUGCUGAUCUUGAGUGGUGUAGAGGUAGGCGGAAUUCCCGGUGUAGCGGUGGAAUGCGUAGAUAUCGGGAGGAACACCAGUGGCGAAGGCGGCCUACUGGGCACUAACUGACGCUGAGGCUCGAAAGCAUGGGUAGCAAACAGGAUUAGAUACCCUGGUAGUCCAUGCCGUAAACGAUGAUUACUAGGUGUGGGGGGAUUAACCCCCUCCGUGCCGCAGUUAACACAAUAAGUAAUCCACCUGGGGAGUACGACCGCAAGGUUGAAACUCAAAGGAAUUGACGGGGGCCCGCACAAGCAGUGGAGUAUGUGGUUUAAUUCGAAGCAACGCGAAGAACCUUACCAGGUCUUGACAUCCAACUAACGAAGUAGAGAUACAUUAGGUGCCCUUCGGGGAAAGUUGAGACAGGUGGUGCAUGGUUGUCGUCAGCUCGUGUCGUGAGAUGUUGGGUUAAGU